rnacentral:rRNA from 1 species
UACGAAGGGGGCUAGCGUUGCUCGGAAUCACUGGGCGUAAAGCGCACGUAGGCGGAUUGCUAAGUCAGGGGUGAAAUCCUGGAGCUCAACUCCAGAACUGCCUUUGAUACUGGUGAUCUUGAGUCCGGGAGAGGUGAGUGGAACUGCGAGUGUAGAGGUGAAAUGCGCAGAUAUCAGGAGGAACACCAAUGGCGAAGGCAGCUCACUGGGACGGUAUUGACGCUGAGACGCGAAAGCGUGGGGAGCAAACAGG